GUGCUCACUUUUGGCAGCACAUAUACUAAAAUUGGAACGAUACAGAGAAGAUUAUGGCCCCUGCACAAGGAUGACACAUAAAUUUGUGAAGCAUUCUAUAUUGUU
ensembl:snRNA U6 U6 spliceosomal RNA